UACGGAGGGUGCAAGCGUUGUUCGGAUUCACUGGGCGUAAAGGGUGCGUAGGUGGCUUGGUAAGUUUGAUGUGAAAUCUCCGGGCUUAACCCGGAAAUGGCAUUGAAUACUAUUGAGCUGGAGGUUUGGAGGGGGGACUGGAAUUCUCGGUGUAGCAGUGAAAUGCGUAGAUAUCAUGAGGAAUACCAGAGGCGAAGGCGGCUAUCUGGACAAUUGCUGACGCUCAGGCACGAAAGCGUGGGGAGCAAAAGGG
rnacentral:rRNA from 1 species